ensembl:piRNA 21ur-12761 ncRNA
UUUCAUAGCGACGGUUGGAAA